rnacentral:rRNA from 1 species
GACAGAGGUCCCGAGCGUUAGGCGGAAUCACUGGGCUUAAAGCGUGUGUAGGCGGCGGUCUAAGUACCUUGUGAAAUCCCACGGCUCACCCGUGGAACUGCUCGGUAUACUGGGUCGCUUGAGCCACUUAGGGGCUACCGGAACAAAUGGUGGAGCGGUGAAAUGCGUAGAUAUCAUUUGGAACGCCAAUGGUGAAAACAGGUAGCUGGGAGUGUGCUGACGCUGAGACACGAAAGCCAGGGGAGCAAACGGG